UACGUAGGGUGCAAGCGUUGUCCGGAAUUAUUGGGCGUAAAGAGCUCGUAGGCGGUUUGUUGCGUCGGCUGUGAAAUCCCGAGGCUCAACCUCGGGUCUGCAGUCGAUACGAGCAAACUAGAGUGUUGCAGGGGAGACUGGAAUUCCUGGUGUAGCGGUGAAAUGCGCAGAUAUCAGGAGGAACACCGGUGGCGAAGGCGGGUCUCUGGACGGUUUCUGACGCUAAGACGCGAAAGCGUGGGGAGCAAACAGG
rnacentral:rRNA from 1 species